AUUGAACGCUGGCGGAAUGCUUUACACAUGCAAGUCGACCGGCAGCGUGGCGCAACCUGGCGGCGAGCGGCGAACGGGUGAGUAAUAUAUCGGAACGUACCCAGACGCGGGGGAUAACACAGCGAAAGCUGUCCUGAUACCGCAUACGUCCUGAGGGAGGAAUCGGGGGAGCGCAAAGCCUCGGGCGAUUGGAGCGGCCGAUAUCGGAUUAGCUAGUUGGUGAGGUAAAGGCUCACCAAGGCGACGAUCCGUAGCUGGUCUGAGAGGAUGAACAGGCAGACUGGAACUGAGACACGGUGCAGACUCCUACGGGAGGCAGAAGUGGGGAAUUUUGGAGAAUGGGCGAAAGCCUGAUCCAGCCAUGCCGCGUGCGGGAAGAAGGCCUUCGGGUUGUAAACCGCUUUUGUCAGGGAAGAAAAGGGCGACUCGAAUACAGUUGCCUCAUGACGGUACCUGAAGAAUAAGCACCGGCUAACUACGUGCCAGCCGCCGCGGUAA
rnacentral:rRNA from 1 species